CGGACGGGGGAGUAAUGUCUGGGAAACGUGCCUGAUGGAGGGGGAUAACUACUGGAAACGGUAGCUAAUACCGCAUAACGUCGCAAGACCGAAAGAGGGGGACCUUAGGGCCUCUUGCCAUCGGAUGUGCCCAGAUGGGAUUAGCUAGUAGGUGGGGUAACGGCUCACCUAGGCGACGAUCCCUAGCUGGUCUGAGAGGAUGACCAGCCACACUGGAACUGAGACACGGUCCAG
rnacentral:rRNA from 1 species